GGGUAUAUAGCUCAGUGGUAAAGCAUAUGACUGCAGAACAAGAGGUCGAUGAUUCAACUCCAGGUGCCCU